GUGGGGAUGGCAACAUCAUAUAUAUAGGGUCGUGGUGGUGCCAGUAGUGGUGGUGAUGAAAAUUCGAUGCCAAAGCAGAAGCUGAUGAAAGAGCGAGAAGCCAGUUUUGCUUCUGAACCAGAAAACUUAAGGUUUGGGUACUUGUGCGAUCCGGGCAGAGAGAAAGGUACUUUGCAUGCAACAUCCACUCACGCAGCACGAUAUUUUUUGCAUAAUGAACAGCCCUGUUUGGCUGUCUGUUGGCUAAAUUAGGCAUAUCUUUGCGGGUAUGUGCCAUGCUUUAUAGGGAAAGGCCUUCAUCGUCAAAGAAGGUCAUAAGUUAUUCGCCGGUAAUUAGUGCCGCAGUUUUAACGGUUAUGCUUUAUUUAUUAGCUCUCACUUUCAAACAUGCUGAGCACUAAUUAAAUGGCAACCGUCUCGGAUAUGAGAACCUGCCCAUUUAAAUACCACGAGCCUAUUUAAAAAUACAAACUUUGUUCAUGAAAAUAAAUAACGGUAAAGUUGGUGUAAGCGAAAUGCCAGAAUGGCAAACAAUUUUUUUUAUUUUACUGUAGGCCUUCAUCAGAACAUUUGCAUGACCUUGUUUUUUUGUAUGUUAAAACAUAUAUGUUUAUAUACAUAUUUACAAAGUGGCAGAUAAAUGUAGACAAAUUGAAUAUUGAUGGUACAUUUUGGCACCGUAUUUUCCAUUGGCAUUGUUGGCAAGUUUUAGUCACCAAGUAAAUCAUAUCCAGAAUUGGUAUUUUCACUCAUAGAGGCAUAUGACAUCCCAUUUAAACGAACAAUUUAGCUAAAUAUUAAAUAGUCUAUACGCUUUUGACUACAAAAUCCUUGGAAGCACUGGAAAACAAUUCAUUCUUACAUUAGGAAUUUGUAACAAUACCAAGAUUAUAAAUAGUAAUAUGCAAUAGAGGGAAGGUUAGAUGAUAGCAUUUCCAGGAUCUUCAACAGCACCUAUUGAUAAGUCCUCUACCAGCAUAAUUUAGAAUAUAUAAAUUCGUUUUAAAGUUAUUUUAUCAGCCAACACCUGGAUGCAGAUCUCCUAUACCAUGUUGUGUUGUUUCACCAUACUGCACCACAAUGGUCAGUAUGGGACCGAGCGAUUCAAAUAUCACUCACGACGAAUAGUAACCAUCGCCGGAAAUUUUACUCGGGUUGUUUGAAUCAUGGGCUAAUACGUUAACCACUGCUCCAACCACUCUACCCCAUACAUUACAUAACAACGUACAAUACUUUGCCAAACAUGAUACGAUACAUUGUUUGGAAAAAAAGGUUUUUAUAUCAGUUUGCUUCAUUUAGCUUCCACUGAAAACAAUUCAGGCUCGCCAAGAAAAAAAAUCAAUCAAUAUUUCACGAAGUCGCAGGUGCGACGGGGCAGAAUUUUUCAAGCGUUUCGGUGUGAAGCGUUUGCCAAUUUCACACCGACGCGAGGGGGUAAAGUGUGCUGCUACAGAGCUGCCACAAGCUGUCUGGGUUUAAAAUAAGGCCCUCUCUCCCUAAUAAUCACUGCCCCCCCCCCUUCCAUUGAGUGCCCCCAGGUGUGUUGCAGGAUGUGAAUGAUCCCCAGAAAGAAAAAAAAAAGGAACUGAGAUUAAGUCCAUCACCGGCCCGGCUGGGGAUGAUAUUGAGCUGAAGAACUCUGGGAGCCCACCGGUGGGGUAAACAUGAUGCAUGGUGCCACUCGACCCAUGGCGAUAUUAACGAUAACGCCCGGCAGUGUGCAAGCUUCAGUCGUGUGACCAACACACGUGUGAAGUGACUGUUUCUAAAUAAAAAAUGUAAUUCAUUUUAUUUUCAGCCUUUUGUCAAUACACUUGCCGGAUGAAAACCUCACCACGGCGUGUCGGUCGUGGGGGUUAUCCGACUAUACUUCACCACUUUGGUCAAUGCAGGUUGGUGAAGGGGUCGGAGGUGAGGGGGUGCCCAUGACAGGCUCCUCGCUGGGAUUUUAACUUGGGUAUCUUUGUUCGCAGUGCACCUACCGCUCCACCACUGCUCUACACUCCACAAUUCAGUUCCAUUAUCCCAUACGAAAUCAUCAUCAACAUUUACACAAUAAUGUAUAUCAUGCUUUAAUUGACGAUGAUUUCCCCCUAUAGGAAAACAGGUACAUUCAUGAAACCCAAGACAUUCGUUGGAGGUCCUCAGUGAGAUUUGGUUAAGAAUGACAGAUAACUUGGUUGUGAAUUUACUGUCAUUAGCCUGUUAUCUGCGAGCAUCCUUGGAGCAUAUGAACAAAGGUCACAGUGCAUUCGUUCAUUUAUAAUGCCAAUUAGACUCUUGCAUGAGCGAAGUUUGGCCAGUUCCAUUCAUGAGAGUUUGGCUUCAUGUGCGAGGAAACCAGAGAACUCGGAGAAAAUCCACCACGCGGAGUUUGGGACUUCAAGGUGUGGCCCCCUCGUGAAGGAGCCCGUGUGACAUUUCAAGGCACGAGCAGGAAAAGAUGGAUAAAAUGAAGUCCUCCUUCCUGCUCGGCCAGGUAUUCACCGAGACAGAAAACAUUUGCUGAGCACACUAUGAACGCGCGCCAAUAACAGGUUAUUAGUCCCACACGCAGGCUUCAGACACUAAUUAAGCUUCAAUUUUAUGACCAUGUAAUCACAAUAUUAUUCCACCCUAUUAAAUCGAAAUUACUUUUAAUUACACACGUACAAUCAGGUUACUGUUUCCUGCAAGUCCUCAGAAACAAUACAUUCCAUUCUGCAGUAACACGUUUCGACAGCGCGGCCCUCCUGAACGAUGCUAAAACGAGAGGGGAUUUAUUCAGAUUCAUUGUCGCCACUCCAAAGGAUUUAGAUCUCCAUGAUGCAUCUAAACCCGAAGCUUUAUUGAAAUGUCACAGCCAUAAUCGGACAUGCCUUCAGCAUGACCCCGGGCGCACAGGCCUUUGGCCUGGUGUGAUCUGUAUUUCCGGUGACGAAUGAGAAGACCAGACGCUCUCUCGCAAGUCAUGAGCGGGCCCCUUGCACACCAGCCACCACGACAAAUCAUGCAGAAGUGUUUUUUUUUUUUAUAGCAUUAAAAGUAUGGUGAUGGUAAUUAGAACACCGUGUGUGCUGAGUGGCGUGUAAUGGUCAGCACACCAAAACUAUGACCCCCUGGGACCCGAGUUUGCUCCUUGACAAUGCACGCGGGAAACCGACAGAAAUUGGUUCAUGAGUUUGGCCUGUGCCUCCUCUAGGUUGACUCGGCCUAAAAUAAAAAUCUGGCGUUGCAGUGUACACAUUGCGGUGUUGGCAUAGUAUUGCAUCACCCGCUUGUGUGCUACACUGACAAUCAUUGGUUGAAGGUAACACAUUUCUCCAAUUGUCUCUGAGCCCGAAAUAGGAAACUGUCUGUUUGUGUGUGUCCAUGGGCAAAACACAAUGUGCCGAACAAUAUCGAAGUUAAAUAUUGGCGGGUGUUGAAUGUUUCCAUUUUCGUGCGAGAAUCAAACAUGCGUUGAAAGUGAACCAAUGUUUUGCAGCAUUUUCAUUAAUCUCUCGAAAAUGUUUCAUGAAAUCCAAUGCAACGUUUUAACUUUCACCAGCAACAAAUCAUCCUUUCAAAACAUGAACAGGUGUGGUGAAUUUUUUAAUAGCCACCUGAGCUUUACUGGUUCUUCAUCGCGUCUCCUUUUAAGUGAUUCCAGCAAAGUCCAUGGGAUUUCCUGAAGCAAUGCGCGUAAGUGCUCGGUGUGUGUUCAUGUGUGUGUCUUUGUUCAUGUCUUUGCGUGUUCAUGUGUGUGUGGGGAGCGGUGGUGCAGUGGUCAGCGUGCUGCGCGACGAACCCUGAAAACCCAGGUUUGAUUCCCGCUCACGGCCAACAUCAGUGACGAUUAUCUGAACUGGUCCUGGGUCUCCCCUAGGUCGACUCAACCUCAAAUGAGUACCUGGUGGGGUGUGUAAAUAUAUCCACUGGGGAGACAAAGGCGGUCGGGCGUGGUGCUGGCCACCCACCCCCUCGUGUGCCGUGCUGGCCUUCAUAGGAGCUCACUAACAGCACUUGCUCCAACAGUCUGGUAAGCCUGUACGGGAGAUCUUAUCUUGUCUUUGGGCGCUUGCAUUUUGGAGCCAAAAUUUGCACAUUGAUUAAGAACGGAAGGGAGAUCGUUAUACAUUGAUUAUUUGCAAAUAUUUAUAUUUCACAAUUUUAUUACAAUUAUGCCAUCAGCAUCAUGUCAUGUGAUGAUGUAAUCAUUUGGAACUCUUGCAGAGCAGUUUAACCAUGCAAAGGCAAUGUUAUAAAACUAUCAGUGAGAUCCCUUCGAGUGGCCUUUAUUGAUCCAUGCAAAAUGCCCCGUGACAGAUAUAUGUUUGUCGCAUGACAGUUAGACCAAAGUAUUUAAUUCUUUGAGCAGGACGGUUGUCAAAACUAAGCGAUAGAACGUCACCUCACUAAAUUUGACAACCCAGUGGCUAUCCUACCCAAAUUCGAAUGUAGGAUCUCGACUGUGUCGAAUGUGCUCUCAAAAUCCUGAGUUACCUAAUAUCAUACAUAUAUAUUUAAAUGUAUAUAUUCAUACAAUUUAGCCCCCAAAUUUAUGGGUAGAUAUUAAUUUUAGGACUGAUGAUUCUGAUAUUGUCGAAGCAAUAAAGGUGCUGGACACUUGAACAAAAAUCCUAAUUUUUUUUUUACAUUUUAUUUAUUGCUUUUUAACAACAUUACCAACAGGGCUUGAGUACAUGCUAAUACAUGCCAGAGGUGCACAUGCAGAGAAGUUGUGUUCCCGAGCUGUGAUCUGACAACACCAGAAUAGGAGAGUCAAGAAGAAUACGAGAAAGAGGAGUGGAAAAAAUAGGGAAGAACAGAAUACGCGUGAAAGGGAAAAUAGGAAGGAAGGUGAUGGGAUAUGGAUAAAAAAAACCCAUCCGAAGACCGUGUCAUGUGGCAGAGGCAGAUUAAGAGGACCUCAUGAAUCCUGAGAGGCAUGGCAAAAAAGACCGAUGACAAUGCUGAUGUUGAUGGAUCAUUAGCCCAAGAGGUUCCUCAUCCCUGAGCUGCCAGUGUGACCAUUUUUUAUCGCAGUGCUGAAAGCAUCCAAACUUUUCAAAGAGAUGACAAGCAUCUGCCUUAUCGCCGUGGGCCAAAAUAGAGGGGCUGGGGAUAUGAGCCCGAAUUGAAGGAGUGGGGUGCAGUGCAUGGGGCUGCAGAUUCAAGGUGUGUUGUGAGAUAAAACAAAUAGCAUAUAUUUUUUAUUGUUAAAUAAACAUUACUAUUUUGGAAUAUUGCUGCCUGAAGGAGACAGGGAAAUAUUUAGAAUGUGGAUAGUGUACAUAUGCAUUUACCGUACCUUAUAGUGUACUAUCAGCCACUGUGAGAUCAUGAUUUAUGGACGGGAACAUUCUGUAUAUUCUCUACCAAUCAUCGUUAUCAGCCAUGGUCCAUCCACUGCUGGUCGAAGACCUCCCCAAGCCACCGCCACCUCCCAACAUCCUGCGAUGCAACAAUCCACUCACGCUCUGCACAUGAACUGAACUCUGAUAUCCUCGCGGACGUUACUUGUCACGAAUUAUUCAUUAACUUCAUAUGUUAUAAUGAAUUGUAUCCAUACUAUUUGAAUGACACAGAGAUGUGCGGCACAGUAAACACAUUUUGUCGUUGUUAAAUGAGCAUUGUAAAAAAAGAAAACUGUUGCAACACACAAUGUGAGCUCGUUCUGGAAACCUGUUGUCCCCGUUACACUUGCACAUUGGUUGUUAAGAAGAGCACGUGUUUUCGCGAUGAUGGCUGCAGUAGCAGCGCUAGCCUUGCAUCAAUGUUACACAGACAAGUCAACCGAAAGUCAGGGAGCGACAUGCGUGGUAAACUCAAAGCAGUGGCGAGCACUGCACGUAUAAUGGUUCAAGUGUCGGAAAGGUAAACACAGCAUUGGACUAAAUUCAUCAACACAGCCUCGCCAAUGAUCCUUGACGAUCACAGCGAGUCGUUCCAUGUCGCGAAUGUUAUCACCAGCAGACGCGUUCAGUGCAUUGCAUUAGCAAAUUGUGUUUUUGUUUUCCCCCACGAUCAAAUUAUAUACGUCAAUAACCGCACAUAUAACAGCGGUAUUAAAAAUGUGCUCGCAUAGGACUGUAAAUCUAGACCAGAUAAGAUGAAAGAAGACCCUAUGCUCGAAAUUGCCGCAGCCCCAUAUGGUUUAUCAGACACAACCGUGUGCCUGCCUAUUUGUUUUUGAAAUGUUACAUCGCAGACUGCAGUUCAGCCCUCCGGUUGUUGAUAUGUAUUUAUUUCGCCCCCCCCACCUCCCCUAAAAAUAAAUGCGGCCACGCACACGUGAGACUUAAGCGUGUGGACCAGGUCGUGACAAUUAAAUGUACGAAAACGCAACGAAAAACGCGUGCAGCAGCAGCGGCGGCGGCGGUCAACGGCUACGAUGUUUCGCUCAUCAUUUGGCAUCCGUCUGGGUCACGAGGUCGAACGAUAGAUGCCGCGUAGCGUGCGCUCAGCCCGUUGCAAGAUGAAGUCUAAUUUAUGCAGCCCGGUAUGCCGUCGUCACAUCGCCCGUGGGGGAAAAAAAUACUUCGAAGAAGAAAAAAAACCCAAUUUGAACUUACGCACAUUGUCUACAUUCGAAAACUCCACGCAAUGUUUGCAGUCAACACCGAUGGUGUCACGUGCGCCGUCUCUGUCGGAAUAUCCCGCUGGAGUUGAAUCAGCAAAAAAUGCGCGCACACACACACGUCCGUGCAUGAAUGCGCGCGAGUAAGCAGCCGAGGGCGGCACACAGGCAAGCGUAGUGAAGUUGUCGUCUGUCGG